rnacentral:tRNA from 1 species
GCGGACGUGGCGGAAUUGGUAUACGCACUAGCUUGAGGGGCUAGCGCCCGCAAGGGCUUGAGAGUUCGAGUCUCUCCGUCCGCA